GGGCGGGGCGGUGGUUCUCCUCGCGUGACGCCCUUCCCGCGCCGCAGCUCCGUUCCGCGGAGACGGAGCCAGAGACGGACGGAGCGGCCCCGAGCCGGAGACCCGACAGUGAGAUCGCUUGCCGGGCGCCCCACCGCCAGCUCGCCGCAUACCAGCUACACGUAGAGUGGUAGCACGUCACCAUGCUGAUGGUGGUGAUUCCCAACAGCUAGCUCUGUUGGAAACCUAUUUGCAGUGUGUCAGGCAUUGUGCUAAAACCUUACCAGGCAAGGUGGAUACGCUACCUUCACAGAUGAAGAAAUCAAGACUUCCGGAGGUGACAUAAUUUUCCUCAAUCACAUCAUCAACUAAUGGCAGAGCUAGAACACAAAAGCAGUUCUCUUUCUAACUACUAUGUGGCUAACCUGUAAAUAAAAUGUUGAUGAUGAAUUA